CUUACAGUUGGAUCCUGGCUCAUGAUGAACGCUAGCUACAGGCUUAACACAUGCAAGUCGAGGGGAAACGACAUCGAAAGCUUGCUUUUGAUGGGCGUCGACCGGCGCACGGGUGAGUAACGCGUAUCCAACCUGCCUAUCACUUGGGGAUAACCUUGCGAAAGUAAGACUAAUACCCAAUGACGUCUCUAGAAGACAUCUGAAAGAGAUUAAAGAUUUAUCGGUGAUGGAUGGGGAUGCGUCUGAUUAGCUUGUUGGCGGGGUAACGGCCCACCAAGGCUACGAUCAGUAGGGGUUCUGAGAGGAAGGUCCCCCACAUUGGAACUGAGACACGGUCCAAACUCCUACGGGAGGCAGCAGUGAGGAAUAUUGGUCAAUGGACGAGAGUCUGAACCAGCCAAGUAGCGUGCAGGAUGACGGCCCUAUGGGUUGUAAACUGCUUUUAUAAGGGAAUAAAGUGAGUCUCGUGAGACUUUUUGCAUGUACCUUAUGAAUAAGGACCGGCUAAUUCCGUGCCAGCAGCCGCGGUAAUACGGAAGGUCCGGGCGUUAUCCGGAUUUAUUGGGUUUAAAGGGAGCGUAGGCCGGAGAUUAAGCGUGUUGUGAAAUGUAGAUGCUCAACAUCUGCACUGCAGCGCGAACUGGUUUCCUUGAGUACGCACAAAGUGGGCGGAAUUCGUGGUGUAGCGGUGAAAUGCUUAGAUAUCACGAAGAACUCCGAUUGCGAAGGCAGCUCACUGGAGCGCAACUGACGCUGAAGCUCGAAAGUGCGGGUAUCGAACAGGAUUAGAUACCCUGGUAGUCCGCACGGUAAACGAUGGAUGCCCGCUGUUGGUCUGAAUAGGUCAGCGGCCAAGCGAAAGCAUUAAGCAUCCCACCUGGGGAGUACGCCGGCAACGGUG
rnacentral:rRNA from 1 species